rnacentral:rRNA from 1 species
AUGGCCAACGAGGUCUCGGGUGCGCAGCCUCUCGAGGACCCCGAGCCCUUGAACAAUGAACAAGGAAAUUUCGGAGUCCUUGUUUCACUGCCUCCGAGGACGUGGGAGCCACCACCACCGUUGCUUACUUCCACAACUAAAAGUCCUAGAUAUCAGACUUCAGUGGCUAUAAGAAAAACUAAAGCUCUGUUUCCACAGGCGAGUAAAUGCAGCCUGACUGAAGAACGUAAGCUCUGUUUCCUCAAGCUAUGUAUUAGGUUGCAUAUAUAUAACAAAGUGAGGUCCUCAUCCUGGUUGGUUUGGCAUGGCCACAUCCUCAUGGCCAAUAAGUUGUUGCGCUAG